UUAGAGCUGAACGGCCCGAUCUCCCUAUGAAGUCGAGAAGAAGAAGAAGGAUAUAGUAGCAUACCUGCUGAUGGCUUUGGCAGUUAAAGAGAAGGAUUUUAAGGCCAACGCCAACAUUUUUAUGCAGGGAAACUAAUCAGGGACACUAAUGAGAAAGAGAUGGCGAGAGAGAGGAAAGAAGAUGCAGAGUUGAUGACACGAGGCCUGCUAUCAUAUAUGCAACAUUUGUUAGAAUUAAGUGACCCAAAUUCUUAUUU